rnacentral:misc_RNA from 1 species
AAAUUCCAUGUGCCUUCAAAUACUUCUAAAAGACUACAUUCAUAUAUUCUGUACCAUUAUCAAUUCUCAAUAUUUUAACAUGAGCAUGAAACUGAAUGCUAAUCAUUUUGUGAAACUGUUGAAAACAUGAAAAUACUUUAUUUUUCCCUUUCAUUAGAUAUACCCAAGUUAACCUACUGUAACAAUCAAUAAAGGUCACAAAC